rnacentral:misc_RNA from 1 species
GAUGAAGAACGCAGCGAAAUGCGAUAAGUAAUGUGAAUUGCAGAAUUCAGUGAAUCAUCGAAUCUUUGAACGCACAUUGCGCCCGCCAGUAUUCUGGCGGGCAUGCCUGUUCGAGCGUCAUUACAACCCUCAGGCCCCCGGGCCUGGCGUUGGGGAUCGGCGGAGCCCCCCGUGGGCACACGCCGUCCCCCAAAUGCAGUGGCGGUCCCGCCGCAGCUUCCAUCGCGUAGUAGCUAACACCUCGCGACUGGAGAGCGGCGCGGCCACGCCGUAAAACACCCAACUCUUCUGAAGUUGACCUCGAAUCAGGUAGGAAUACCCGCUGAACUUAAGCAUACAAUAAGCGGAGGA